AACGAACGCUAGCGGCGUGCCUAACACAUGCAAGUCGAGCGAGAAAGGGCUUCGGCCUCAGUAAAGCGGCGCACGGGUGAGUAACACGUGGGUAACGUACCCUCGGGUGGGGAAUAACGGGCCGAAAGGCUCGCUAAUACCGCAUAAGCCCUGAGGGGGAAAGUGGGGGACCGCAAGGCCUCACGCGAAUGGAGCGGCCGAUGUCAGAUUAGCUAGUUGGUGGGGUAAAGGCCCACCAAGGCGACGAUCUGUAGCGGGUCUGAGAGGAUGAUCCGCCACACUGGGACUGAGACACGGCCCAGACUCCUACGGGAGGCAGCAGUGGGGAAUUUUGGACAAUGGGCGCAAGCCUGAUCCAGCCAUGCCGCGUGCGGGACGAAGGCC
rnacentral:rRNA from 1 species